rnacentral:rRNA from 1 species
AGCAGUCGCCGCGGGAAAACGUAGGUGGCAAGCGUUGUCCGGAAUUAUUGGGCGUAAAGGGCUCGCAGGCGGUUUCUUAAGUCUGAUGUGAAAGCCCCCGGCUCAACCGGGGAGGGUCAUUGGAAACUGGGAAACUUGAGUGCAGAAGAGGAGAGUGGAAUUCCACGUGUAGCGGUGAAAUGCGUAGAGAUGUGGAGGAGCACCAGUGGCGAAGGCGACUCUCUGGUCUGUAACUGACGCUGAGGAGCGAAAGCGUGGGGAGCGAACAGGAUUAGAUACCCCAGUAGUCCCUGUCUCUUAUAC